UAAUGAUGUUCACAGGCCACAACCAGGGUGUCUUGGGGUGGCACAAGAGGGCUGCAGACACCAGGCAAUGCCAGCAGGCUGGGGUAAACACCUUCAUCUCAAGAGCCAUCCUGGACUCAACUGGCUGCAGAAAACUGCUUUGGAGGCAAAAGAAGAAAUAAGACAAGAAGCACUCAUUUGGAAGGAUUGGUCAGUGAAGAGAUAAAAGGAAAAAGGCUGAAGAAGAGCCAUGGACCAGAGGAGACCACAGAGAUGUGACACCUGAAUAUAAUGUGUAAAGCUGGGCCAGUUGACGGGACCCAGGACUGGGAAACAUGGGCACAACCGGAUUACUUGGACAACAGGCUUAAUUGACAUGUCUCUACUGCCUGUUGAAGCUGAGUUCCUUCUGUCCAUUGGCCAUUCAGGUAUGCGGUUUUGUGGAGGUACCAUUCCAACCUUUUGCUCGUCUUCCUGUGAGCUGUCACGUCUUAUUGAUUUGGAAGGCUCUUUAUAUAUUCUGAAUAGAAGUCCUUUGUCACACGCACUGACUGAGGAUGUCCUCUCUUGUUCUGUGAUUUGCUUUUCCAGUUCUUCAUGAUAUUUCUUGGUAAGUUUUAAUUUUCAGGACAUACAAAUUAUUAGGGUCUCCCCCCCACCAAGUCCUACAAUUUAACCUUUAUAAUACUCUUAAAAGAUUAAACUGUAUAAAUCAGGUGGAUCCUACUUCUAGAUCCUAGUUGGAAGGGUCCUGGACAGAGGGUCCGCAGUCAAACCCCAUGAUCUCCCUCCUGCUUGGGCUCUUGAGGGGAGGAGGUGCUUGGGGACACUGGCAGGAGAGGCGAGGCUCAUUGGCACCUAGGAUUCUGAAAGUCCAGCCUACUCUGCUGACUGCUAUCGCAGGGUUACAUGGCCCUUUGUCCAGAGGCAGGUACAGUCCUGAACAGAGAGAGUGCUCUGAGGGACAGAGAUGCAGUAUUUCAGUUCAAGCCACAGGCAGUUGCAAAGGUGGGCUCUGAGGGUGACCAUCGCUCUGCUAGGAACUUGGAGAGAGAGAAAGUCAGCGAUGGUGUCCCAGAGGAGGGGACUGUUAAUGUAGGUUCUGUUGGCUGCGAAGGAGCCUUCCAGACAGCCAAGGAAUAGAAGAGCAUUUCAGACAAAUACUUAGAGACCUGCAGGAGCUGGACACUUAAUAAACUGCCAUGUAGCGUGAGAUUUGAGAAAGGGACCAGCCAUUUCCCAUCCCAACCUCCCCACCCGAAAGGGGGAGGUUUGCAUCCACAAAGGCCUGGCUAACGUGUCCUAGUGCUGGUGAUGAUGGACAGGCCCUGUCACUGUGUCUGUCAUACAGACAGAGAUGGGGGAGGGGUUGGGGCAAGCAGUCCUGGAAGGUCCUGUAGAGGAGGUGGCCCUGAGGCUGGCCAGGAGUACCUCUGUCUUUCAGCUGCUGUUUCUGGGUGAGCACAGGCCUGCACGACCCUGUCUCUCCAUGUGGAUGAAAAGCUGUGGAGCACUGAGCAGUCCAGACUCCCAAGUGACUUUAAUGGAGUUUAAUUUCAACUGUAGAUUUUGAAGCAGCUUGGGGAAUUUAGAGAUAAGACCAGCUCUGGGGAGGCAGGAAAGGAGGUAGAGCCCAGAAGACACCAGCUCCCUUCUCUCUGAGGAACUCCUGUCCUGAACUCAAAGUCUGACCCAGACUCCCACACUCCAUUAGAGGAUUUGUGUGGCCAGAGAUGUGCUGUCUCCUAAGGAGACAGAGGAGAAGAGUGGCAGCCCCUUUGGGCUCUUUGAGCUCAGUCCUCUCUAACCUUGGGGGCUUUAAGUUGUCUGCUGAUGCUGGGACACCCGGGUGCAGGCCUUCUCUGCCCCUCGGGGUUUUCAGGGAUGACCCAGGCCAUACACAUACGGGGGUGGGGGAAGGGGACACAGACAUACAUGGGCAUAGACACACACAGACAAACACACAAGAGGGACACAUAUACAUACAAACACACAAAGGGUCACACACACACAGACAUAAACACAGACAGACACACACAAAGGGACACACACACAUAUGGGGGAUAGGGUGGGAUCACACAGACAUAUACAGGCACAGACACACACAGACAGACACACAAGAGGCACACAUACACAGACAGACAGACACACACAAAAGGGUCAUACACACUGAAUCACAUACACAGAUACACACACACACAUACAAAGGGACACAUACACACACAGAUACACACAGAGGGUGGAGGGACACAUACACACACAGAUAUACACAGGCACUGACACACAAGAGGGACACAUACAAUACAUGGACAAACAGACAGACGGACAGACACACAAAAGGUCUCUCACACACAGAGACAUAUACACAGAUAGACACACAGAGGGACACAUACACACACACACACACACACACACACACACACACACACACACACACACACCCCUGCACUCUACGCUGCUAUCCAGGGACCCUCAAGCCAGUCCUUCAGUGGUUCCACCUUUGCAGAGUGGACCCCUAACAUCCCACAGGCUCUGCCUCCCCUCUUCUCCUGGCUUCUUGCUUCUGUCUCGCCUGGCAGUUGCCUGCUGCUCGGGUGCCCUCCUUGGCCUUGGAAACAGGAGAAAGCUGUGGGACUCCUGGCUCUCAUUAGACUUUAGACUGGGCCAUGCGCCUGAUUCCAAAGGCCGUAUCUCCUGAAGUCUUGGGUCACGUUGUGUCAGCAAAGCAUCGGAGUGGGAUAAGUGAGCUCCUGCACAGGUGACAGGCACUCAGGUGUCCGUGUGCCUUAAAUCUGAGCCCUAGGGGCUGUUGGCACAGCCACAGAUGAAACCCCCAAGCCUCAGUUUUGCCACCUGCAAAGAGGG